rnacentral:rRNA from 1 species
AGUGAACGCUGGCGGUAGGCCUAACACAUGCAAGUCGAACGGCAGCACAGUAAGAGCUUGCUCUUACGGGUGGCGAGUGGCGGACGGGUGAGGAAUACAUCGGAAUCUACUUUUUCGUGGGGGAUAACGUAGGGAAACUUACGCUAAUACCGCAUACGACCUACGGGUGAAAGCAGGGGAUCUUCGGACCUUGCGCGAUUGAAUGAGCCGAUGUCGGAUUAGCUAGUUGGCGGGGUAAAGGCCCACCAAGGCGGCGAUCCGUAGCUGGUCUGAGAGGAUGAUCAGCCACACUGGAACUGAGACACGGUCCAGACUCCUACGGGAGGGAGCAGUGGGGAAUAUUGGACAAUGGGCGCAAGCCUGAUCCAGCCAUACCGCGUGGGUGAAGAAGGCCUUCGGGUUGUAAAGCCCUUUUGUUGGGAAAGAAAAGCAGCAGGUUAAUACCCCGCUGUUCUGACGGUACCCAAAGAAUAAGCACCGGCUAACUUCGUG